AAUGGGCGCAAGMCUGAUCCAUYCAUKCCGYGUGAGUGAUGAAGGCCUUAGGGUMGUAAAGCUCUUUCKCCAGGGWUGAUAAUGACAGUACCUGGUAAAGAAACCCSGGCUAAYUCCGUGCCAGCAGCCGSGGUAAUACGGAGGGGGUUAGCGUUGUUCGGAAUUACUGGGCGUAAAGCGCGCGUARGCGGAUUAGUCAGUUAGAGGUGAAAUCCCGGGGCUCAACCCCGGAACUGCCUUUAAUACUGCUAGUCUUGAGUUCGAGAGAGGKGAGUGGAAUUCCGAGUGUAGAGGUGAAAUUCRWAGAUAUUCGGAGGAACACCAUUGGCGAAGGCGGCUCACUGGCUCGAUACUGACGCUGAGGUGCGAAAGUGUGGGGAGCAAACAGGAUUAGAUACCCUGGUAGUCCACACCGUAAACNAUNAAUGCCAGUCGUCSGGUARCAUGCUAUUCUGUGACACACCUAACGGAUUAAGCAUUCCGCCUGGG
rnacentral:rRNA from 1 species